UAGAUCACUUGCACACUGACCAUGAGCCUGUCUUCUUCUAUACCUGUGCACCAAUCUUCAAGAGCAAACAUUAUCCACAAUUUGGUUUCCCCCUAAAAUAUGGAAAGCUGGAGCUACAGAACUUCUGCUGCAAGAUAGAAACUUUUAGAAUCAUUUGAUAAGGCAGACGUGUUCAUGCUCUGCAGAAACUUCUCUAGGGAAGAACUCUUUCAUCCCCGUGCCACAUCUCUUCCCCCAUCAGCAUCCAUCUUCUGGUUAAGCCGAUGCGGUGACACACGGACAAAAAGAUGACACUGAUUGGAACUGGCAUGUGGGCUGUAGGCUGCUUGAGUGACAGGCCUUUGCAGAUUUUCAUAGCAUCAAUCACGCAUCAAGAGUCCUUCCCAUCCCGCAGCUUUAAGGAGAGAUUUCAAGAAUGGCAUCCGUGGCAGUCUACCCUGGGCAGAAGGCAAAUAAUACUGGCUCC